CCCACAGAGAAGGCUUCGAAAAAAUGGAUCCCAUCUGGGAAGGUCAGUACAAGAUCAGCAGAGUAUGUGGCAAGAGUAAUUACACCCUCGCCACUAUGAAACGGCAAAAAGAUUGAAAAGUAGUGGAUGGCCUACAAUAUGAAGAAGUACCAUGUGUGACCUCCCGCUACAGCAAAACCCGAAGACUCAAGAAGCUCGACGGGCACCACCUCACAAGCCGAGGACUACCCAGUUGUUAUGCAGUUUCUACCUUACAGCUAAGUUCUCGUUCGUUUCACUCAUUUUUUUAAUGAGGAAUUCAGAAGUAAUCACAACUUGGCUCGGUUGCAUGCUUACAACAACUAAUCACUCCUGCACUUCAAAAGAAGAUUGCACCUUACUUAGGGACUCAUCGCAGGAAUUGCGCUCCCCGAGGGACCAACCAUGCUCUCCAGUGCAAUAGGGUAAACUAAUUGCUCUCCAGUGCGAGAGGGUAAACCAAUUCCCCGACACCCAUAUGGGUCAGCUUUCCAAGACGGGAGGAUAAACUUUACACUCCGAAUAUCCAGACGUGGAUGAGCUUGGCUACCCUAGUAUAACUAGAUGCACGAUGGCUUACGCCAGGAUUCCUAGAAGUAGCCACAAUGGUCUUUUUCAAGGCUUAGCUAACUGAAGGAUUUUAGGUCUCUUGGCCUAAUUCGUGGGGAACCGGACCCUAGAGACGGAGGGGGCACAUUAUGCAGUACGCCCUAC
rnacentral:lncRNA from 1 species